rnacentral:tRNA from 1 species
GCGGAAGUAGCCAAGCCAGGCCAAAGGCGCCAGACUUAAGAUCGUAUGCACAGUGGGGUCAUGCGAAGAGGACAUCUGGUCUGGAAGCAGUUCGUGGGAUCGAAGCCCACCUUCCGCA